UACGAAGGGGGCUAGCGUUGUUCGGAAUCACUGGGCGUAAAGCGCACGUAGGCGGCUUCUUAAGUCAGGGGUGAAAUCCUGGAGCUCAACUCCAGAACUGCCUUUGAUACUGGGAGGCUCGAGUCCGGAAGAGGUGAGUGGAACUGCGAGUGUAGAGGUGAAAUUCGUAGAUAUUCGCAAGAACACCAGUGGCGAAGGCGGCUCACUGGUCCGGUACUGACGCUGAGGUGCGAAAGCGUGGGGAGCAGACAGG
rnacentral:rRNA from 1 species